UGUCGGACGUGGUGUUUUUUAACAGUAAACUAUGUGUUAAAAACGUAUUUUGGAGUGUGUGUUUAUCAUGCAUAAAUGUAUAUUUCGAUAGGAAUACAAUAAAAUAGUGUGGUUUAAACUAAGUUUCGAUAAAGACAUGGUCAUGGACGAUAGAAGUGGAAGUGCAUUUCGUUUAAACGUUUUUGUUAUAAACAUCGGAUUGAAGUUGUCAACUUAAUAGUUAUAAAAAUUGGAUUAACGAUGGCAUUAAUUAAGAUCACGUGUCUGCGAAUAAAGACUCCGAAGAAAGCGUGAAAUCUUUCCUGAAGUCACUGACAAGUUCGCUGCGAGACGGAGGUUCCCUUUAUGCCGACGGUAUGACUAGAGCCUUCUCCGGCGCCAUUUCCGGCGGCGGCAGUGGAUCGGAUACGAUUACUCUCAAUGCAGCGAAUCGAAUAAUUGAGAACAUUAUGGCCAGUUGCGAUACCAAUAAACUUCUCGUGGAAACCCUCGAGAAGUUGAUCACAUUCCGAGACGUCGUGAAAAAUAGACAACAGCGCAAUGGAAGUCGGGCGAACGCGGAACUGAAUUCAGAACGAGUCGGCAUGGAAAAUGAACAGUCACAAGCAAAAGGCCAAAAAUCAGAACCGGCUGUUGCUGAGCGCGACUUCCAUAACAAAAACUGCUUCAAGCUUGGGCAGAUCUGCGGCUUCUAACGAGACUCCUGCUCCGCGCGCGAUACAAAAUGCUACUCAAACGCACCGCUGUGCUGCAUCGGGCUUUCCGGCGGCGGAAAUUUCCUCCUAAGUGACAGUUACGGGAACUGCGUGCCGAUCUACGACUCCUACACGUGCGAAGAGGAUGCAGAUGAUGUACAAAGAUGGGCAGCGUUAAGCGGCCGUUGCACCGGACAUGACACAAUUUAUAGGUGUAGGCGCCUGCUAGCGCGGGCUGUUUUGUUUUUAUCAUAAGCUCGUUUAACAACGUUGUUCUUUGCGUGCGUUAGUUUUUUCGGGGAUAUUUCAAGAAGAAUACUGUAUAUGAUUUGUGAUCACUAGCUAUUUAAUGUAGAAUGUUCAUUAUGAUUUUGUUGUUUGAACUAUUAUUAAAUGAGUGCCUUAGUAUUUAUCUUACUACACAUACGCAGGAUGCAUAGGUUCAGUACAAUCGUCAUUAUUCUGUGACAUCGUGAUUACUCGUGUGACAUCGUGAUUACUCGUGUGACAUCGUGAUUACUCGUGUGACACCGUGAUUACUUAUGCGACAUGGUGAUUACUCGUGUGAAUCGUGAUUUCUCGUUCUACAUCGUGAUUACUCUUGUGAAAUCGUGAUUAUUCUGUGUCAUGAAUUUUCAUUAAUUUCGUGGGUUAACCGAUUUUCAAUUUGAAGACCACAACGAACAAUUAGUUCUCGUUAGGUUUUAUUGUUUGUUUUGAUUGGGGGGGGGGGGGGCACAGUUCAAUGAAUUUACGAGUCCACAAAUUUGUAAGUUUUCCAUCCACGAGUUUUAUUUAUAAUUUGAUUUUUAUUUACUUUGCUUUAACGCUCUGCACGAUUUAGAAACCUCUCAUUUAACAAAAGUGUAGAAAAAACAA